rnacentral:misc_RNA from 1 species
UACCUCCGUCCCUAUUACUCGUCGCUUUGACUUUUUAUUUGCAAUGUUUGACCAUUCGUUUUAUUUAAAAAAUUAGUAUUUAAAGUACGUACUUUUGAUAAUAAAACAAGUCACAAACAAAAUAAAUAAUAAUUCUAUUUUUUUUAAUAAGACGAAUGAUAAGAUAUUACAAACAAAAACUCAAAGCGACAAGUAAUAUGGGACGAAAGU